rnacentral:tRNA from 1 species
UCCCUGGUGGUCUAGUGGUUAGGACUCUGUGCUUCCAGUACAGGGGCCACAGGUUUGAUCCCUGGUCAGGGAA